CAAUAGCGUAUAUUAAAGUUGUUGCAGUUAGAACGCUCGUAGUCGGAUUUCGGGGCGGGGCGACCGGUCUGCCGAUGGGUAUGCACUGGUCGGCGCGUCCUUCCUUCCGGAGACCGUUCCUACUCUUAACUGAGCGGGGGCGGGAGACGGAUCGUUUACUUUGAAAAAAUCAGAGUGUUUCAAGCAGGCAGCUCGCUCUUGCAUGGAUUAGCAUGGGAUAAUGAAAUAGGACUUUGGUGCUAUUUUGUUGGUUUCGAACACCGAAGUAAUGAUUAAAAGGGACAGUCAGGGGCACUCGUAUUCCGCCGAGAGGGGUGAAAUUCUCAGACCAGCGGAAGACGAACCACUGCGAAAGCAUUUGCCAGGGAUGUUUUCACUGA
rnacentral:rRNA from 1 species